UAUACGGUGAAACUGCGAAUGGCUCAUUAAAUCAGUUAUCGUUUAUUUGAUAGUACCUUACUACUUGGAUAACCGUGGUAAUUCUAGAGCUAAUACAUGCUAAAAACCCCGACUUCGGAAGGGGUGUAUUUAUUAGAUAAAAAACCAAUGCCCUUCGGGGCUCCUUGGUGAUUCAUAAUAACUUAACGAAUCGCAUGGCCUUGUGCCGGCGAUGGUUCAUUCAAAUUUCUGCCCUAUCAACUUUCGAUGGUACCGUAGUGGGCUACCAUGGUUUCAACGGGUAACGGGGAAUUAGGGUUCUAUUCCGGAGAGGGAGCCUGAGAAACGGCUACCACAUCCAAGGAAGGCAGCAGGCGCGCAAAUUACCCAAUCCCGACACGGGGAGGUAGUGACAAUAAAUACUGAUACAGGGCUCUUUUGGGUCUUGUAAUUGGAAUGAGUACAAUUUAAAUCCCUUAACGAGGAACAAUUGGAGGGCAAGUCUGGUGCCAGCAGCCGCGGUAAUUCCAGCUCCAAUAGCGUAUAUUAAAGUUGUUGCAGUUAAAAAGCUCGUAGUUGAACCUUGGGCCUGGCUGGCCGGUCCGCCUCACCGCGUGCACUGGUCCGGCCGGGUCUUUCCUUCUGGGGAGCCGCAUGCCCUUCAUUGGGUGUGUCGGGGAACCAGGACUUUUACUUUGAAAAAAUUAGAGUGUUCAAAGCAGGCCUAUGCUCGAAUACAUUAGCAUGGAAUAAUAGAAUAGGACGCGUGGUUCUAUUUUGUUGGUUUCUAGGACCGCCGUAAUGAUUAAUAGGGAUAGUCGGGGGCGUCAGUAUUCAAUUGUCAGAGGUGAAAUUCUUGGAUUUAUUGAAGACUAACUACUGCGAAAGCAUUCGCCAAGGAUGUUUUCAUUAAUCAGUGAACGAAAGUUAGGGGAUCGAAGACGAUCAGAUACCGUCGUAGUCUUAACCAUAAACUAUGCCGACUAGGGAUCGGGCGAUGUUAUCUUUUUGACUCGCUCGGCACCUUACGAGAAAUCAAAGUCUUUGGGUUCU
rnacentral:rRNA from 1 species